AUUGAACGCUGGCGGCAGGCCUAACACAUGCAAGUCGAGCGGGGUUUUCGGACCUAGCGGCGGACGGGUGAGUAAUGCGUAGGAAGCUACCCGAUAGAGGGGGAUACCAGUUGGAAACGACUGUUAAUACCGCAUAAUGUCUACGGACCAAAGUGUGGGACCUUCGGGCCACAUGCUAUCGGAUGCGCCUACGUGGGAUUAGCUAGUUGGUGGGGUAAUGGCUCACCAAGGCGACGAUCCCUAGCUGGUUUGAGAGGAUGAUCAGCCACACUGGAACUGAGACACGGUCCAGACUCCUACGGGAGGCAGUAGUGGGGAAUAUUGGACAAUGGGCGAAAGCCUGAUCCAGCCAUGCCGCGUGUGUGAAGAAGGUCUUCGGAUUGUAAAGCACUUUAAGUUGGGAGGAGGGGCAGUAAAUUAAUACUUUGCUGCUUUGACGUUACCGACAGAAUAAGCACCGGCUAACUUCGUGCCAGCCGCCGCAGUAAGAC
rnacentral:rRNA from 1 species